GAUGAAAGGUCGCGGCCUGCAUACCCCGUGCCAGUCCAACUAUGAAACUUUCAAUGAACCCUUCAGGGAGAAUUCCAGCGGAUUAACGCCAAACGGGUGUGUAACGCGUGUUUCACCUGCCCUACACAACGGGAUAUGCUUCGGAAACGAAUAAUAAUACCCUAUACAACCAUAGAGGCACAUGCAAUUAUGGUCAUAAUAUUACCGCUGCAAGAUGGACUUGCGUCUGAUUAGCUAGUGUGGUGAGACAAAAGCCCACCAAGGCAACUAUCAGGAUCCUGCUUGAGAGAGUGUACCGCCACAUUGCAACUGACACACGGUCCAGACUCCUACGGGAGGCAGCACUGGGGAAUUUUGCAAAAUGAGUCAAACCCUGAUGCACCGACGCCACGUGAUUUAGAAGGACGUCGCGUCGAGAAAAUCUUUUGCAUAGGACGAACAUGACAGUCCGAUGGCAAUAACGUCCGGUUAAUUACGUGCCAACACCCGCGACAAUACGUAAGGACCGAGCGUUGUCCGGAAUCAUUGGGCGUAAAGGGUACGUAGGCGGCUAGAAAAGUUAGAAGUCAAAGGCUAUAGCUCAACUAUAGUAAGCUUCUAAAACUAUUUAGCUUGAGAGAUGGAAGGGAAAGUGGAAUUCCUAGUGUAGCGGUGGAAUGCGCAGAUAUUAGGAGGAAUACCGGUGGCGAAGGCGACUUUCUGGCCAUUUUCUGACGCUGAGGUGCGAAAGCGUGGGUAGCAAACAGGAUUAGAUACCCUGGUAGUCCACGCCGUAAACGAUGAGUGUUAGGUGUCUGGAGUCAAAUCUGGGUGCCGCAGCAAACGCAUUAAACACUCCGCCUGGGGAGUACGCACGCAAGUGUGAAACUCAAAGGAAUUGACGGGGACCCGCACAAGCAGCGGAGCAUGUGGUUUAAUUCGACGCAACGCGAAGAACCUUACCAAGUCUUGACAUAUUUUAGAAGCAAUUAGAGAUAGUUGCCUAUAUCUUCGGAUAACUAAAAUACAGGUGGUGCAUGGUUGUCGUCAGCUCGUGUCGUGAGAUGUUGGGUUAAGUCCCAUAACGAGCGCAACCCCUAUUGCUAGUUACCAUCAUUAAGUUGGGGACUCUAGUAAUACUGCCGGUGACAAACCGGAGGAAGGUGGGGAUGACGUCAAAUCAUCAUGCCCUUUAUGACUUGGGCUACACACGUGCUACAAUGGCAGGUACACAGGGAAGCAAGACUGUGAAGUUAAGCAAAACUCAAAAAGCCUGUCCCAGUUCGGAUUGCACUCUGCAACUCGAGUGCAUGAAGUUGGAGUUGCUAGUAAUCGCAGAUCAGAAUGCUGCGGUGAAUGCGUUCCCGGGUCU
rnacentral:rRNA from 1 species